rnacentral:piRNA from 1 species
UGUUAGAUAUUUAUGUAUUCGCCUCCUAGU